UACGGAGGGUGCGAGCGUUGUCCGGAAUCAUUGGGCGUAAAGGGCGCGUAGGUGGCCCGGUCAGCGUGCGGUGAAAGCUCGGGGCUCAACCCCGAGUCGGCCGUGCGAACUGCUGGGCUUGAGCACUGUAGAGGCAGGCGGAAUUCCGGGUGUAGCGGUGGAAUGCGUAGAGAUCCGGAAGAACACCGGUGGCGAAGGCGGCCUGCUGGGCAGUGGCUGACACUGAGGCGCGACAGCGUGGGGAGCAAAAGGG
rnacentral:rRNA from 1 species